UGAUUUUUAGCAGACAAGAUGACAAAAAACCUACUGUGUCGAUAAAGCUUGCACAGCUUGUCAUAGACGAAUUGGAAGGAGGAAAAGGAGAAGGAAUCAAUCUCCUUGAAGAACAUAUAAAAACAGAGACGACGACAUUCGAUUGUACGACCCCUACAGCCAAGGAGCAUAAGAUACCUGAUGUGAUGACGUGUCCUCCUGCCCCGAGAAAGAGUAAGCUUUCACUUGCUGUCAAAGGUAACGGCCCCAACAAGAUUAGGACUGUGAAGGAAUUCUUUGCCUCGCCAGAGCUCGAAGCCAUGCUCGGGAUUAAUCGAGUCUCUUCUAAGAUUUCAUGGAGUAACAGGAUAAAGAGCUCCGGCAAAUUAAGCCGUGGAAGUUCUUCAAAGAAUCAUAUAUUUUAGUAGAUUAAAAGCUUAAAAACUAUUUUGGAUUGUACUCACUACAGAUUUCACCAUUAAUGAGGUGGAUAGGCUUUGCUCUCUCUCUCUCUCUCUCAAUUGCUUCUACAUACAAAAUAAUUUUUGAAUUAUUUGUUGGUCAACGGCUGUUGAAAUGCAAAUUUUUCACUUGUUCCAUGUUUGUUUUCUUUUUUUUUUAAAAAAAAUGAAAUUGGACAGGCCGCCGGCCGGUGGUUUUUAAUAUAUGCAGG
rnacentral:misc_RNA from 1 species